rnacentral:lncRNA from 1 species
CCAAAUUCUCUUUGUAUCUUGAAUUUCUCUAACAAAUGGCCCAGACAGCAAAGAAGGCCAUAGAGAGGGAGGUUUCUAAACUGCCCCCUACCCCCAGCUUUCCUUGCCUUCUCUCAUCCUGGACCUGGACCUUUGUCUGUAGAGCACAGCUGCUUCUGAACUGGUAAGCUCCGGCUCAUCCUGUAAGGCCCAGCUGAGAAGGUCUCUGCAAACAGCCUGCCUUAUUCUACCUCAGGCAGAGCCACUCUCUUUUUCUGUGUCAGGCUGCACAUACGUUUGCAGCCUUGUCUCACUGGCAUUAUCUGCUGCGACUCUUCCUUGCUGGACUGUGAGUCUUUCAAAGCAAGGGCUCCAUUUCGUUUUGUUCCUGAAGUCCUGGCAUAGAGUUGAAAGUCACUCAGUAUCUGCUGAAGGGGUGCGUGAGAUGAGCUCAAUUUAGCUCUGUGCCGGAAACCACCUCACAUGCCCAGCUGCCCGGCUCAGGCUCCUUCCCUGCUAGUGGAAAUGACUUGGCAAGCAGGGGCCUGACCAAAGGGACUCCUGAAUCCAGGUCCAGUGACUAGCUUGAAAAGUGGGAGUGGUGGUCUUCUGUGUCACUGCAAACUUCCUGGAGUGUUUCGUAACUUCCUGUUUCACUUC